AAGGGAGACCUAAUUCCGGUAGGAGACGAAAAAAAAGUAGUCCCAACCAAGAAUCAAUCCCAAAAGGUCGGAACGAGGUAUGAGGCUUUCAAACUAGGUUCUGGGUUCAUAAAAGACCUGAAUCAGGAACAAGGGCUAUUAGCUCAGGUGGUUAGAGCGCACCCCUGAUAAGGGUGAGGUCCCUGGUUCGGGUCCAGGAUGGCCCACCUGCACAGGUGGCAAAAACAAGAGAAGCUCCGAAUCAGCACCUUAUCUUAUAUACAUAUAUAAGAGAGAAUGCUGGCUCUGAGUAAAGAGUCCAGAGGAACCUUGAAAACUGCAUAGAGCUAGGUGAAAAAGCCAAAAAAGAAGACCGCAA
rnacentral:tRNA from 1 species